rnacentral:rRNA from 1 species
UACGUAGGGGCCGAGCGUUGUCCGGAGUUACUGGGCGUAAAGCGCGCGCAGGCGGCCCCGCGCGCCCGGCGUGAAAGCCCCCGGCUCAACCGGGGAGGGUCGUCGGGGACGGCGGGGCUUGAGGGCGGCAGGGGUCGGUGGAAUGCCCGGUGUAGUGGUGAAAUGCGUAGAGAUCGGGCGGAACACCCGUGGCGAAGGCGGCCGACUGGGCCGGCCCUGACGCUGAGGCGCGAAGGCGUGGGGAGCGAACGGGAUUAGAAACCCCAGUAGUCC